rnacentral:rRNA from 1 species
GACGAACGCUGGCGGCGUGCUUAACACAUGCAAGUCGAACGGUAAGGCCCUUCGGGGUACACGAGUGGCGAACGGGUGAGUAACACGUGGGUGAUCUGCCCUGCACUUCGGGAUAAGCCUGGGAAACUGGGUCUAAUACCGGAUAGGACUCCUGGCUUCAUGGUUGGGGGUGGAAAGCUUUUGCGGUGUUGGAUGGGCCCGCGGCCUAUCAGCUUGUUGGUGGGGUAAUGGCCUACCAAGGAGACGACGGGUAGCCGGCCUGAGAGGGUGACCGGUCACACUGGGACUGAGAUACGGCUCAGACUCCUACGGGAGGCAGCAGUGGGGAAUAUUGCACAAUGGGCGCAAGCCUGAUGCAGCGACGCCGCGUGAGGGAUGACGGCCUUCGGGUUGUAAACCUCUUUCAGCUAUGACGAAGCGCAAGUGACGGUAGUAGCAGAAGAAGGACCGGCCAACUACGUGCCAGCAGCCGCAGUAA